GGUUUCGUAGGUGACUGCGGAGGAUCAUUACCGAGUGAGGGCCCUCUGGGUCCACCUCCCACCCGUGUUUAUUUACCUUGUUGCUUCGGCGAGCCUGCCUUUUGGCUGCCGGGGGACGUCAGUCCCCGGGUCCGUGCUCGCCGGAGACACCUUAGAACUCUGUCUGAAGAUUGUAGUCUGAGAUUAAAUAUAAAUUAUUUAAAACUUUCAACAACGGAUCUCUUGGUUCCGGCAUCGAUGAAGAACGCAGCGAAAUGCGAUACGUAAUGUGAAUUGCAGAAUUCAGUGAAUCAUCGAGUCUUUGAACGCACAUUGCGCCCUCUGGUAUUCCGGAGGGCAUGCCUGUCCGAGCGUCAUUGCUGCCCUCAAGCACGGCUUGUGUGUUGGGCCCCGUCCUCCUUCCGGGGGACGGGUCCGAAAGGCAGCGGCGGCACCGCGUCCGGUCCUCAAGCGUAUGGGGCUUUGUCACUCGCUUUGUAGGCCUGGCCGGCGCUUGCCGAUCAACCAAACUUUUUAUCAGGUUGACCUCGGAUCAGGUAGGGAUACCCGCUGAACUUAAGCAUAUCAAUAAGCGGAGGAAAAGAAACCAACAGGGAUUACCUCAGUAACGGCGAGUGAAGCGGUAAGAGCUCAAAUUUGAAAGCUGGCUCCUUCGGGGUCCGCAUUGUAAUUUGCAGAGGAUGCUUCGGGAGCGGUCCCCAUCUAAGUGCCCUGGAACGGGACGUCAUAGAGGGUGAGAAUCCCGUAUGGGAUGGGGUGUCCGCGCCCGUGUGAAGCUCCUUCGACGAGUCGAGUUGUUUGGGAAUGCAGCUCUAAAUGGGUGGUAAAUUUCAUCUAAAGCUAAAUAUUGGCCGGAGACCGAUAGCGCACAAGUAGAGUGAUCGAAAGAUGAAAAGCACUUUGAAAAGAGAGUUAAAAAGCACGUGAAAUUGUUGAAAGGGAAGCGCUUGCGACCAGACUCGCUCGCGGGGUUCAGCCGGCAUUCGUGCCGGUGUACUUCCCCGCGAGCGGGCCAACGUCGGUUUGGGC
rnacentral:rRNA from 1 species